UUGAAUCUCUUAUUCCCGGAGAAAGUGAAUGUAUAUAUGAGACAGAAAUAAAGAAAGAAAUCACAAAAUCUGAAAGUACAAUCGAUGUUUGUCAUACACAGGUUAGAGAAAUUGAUCAUCUAAUCAUUGAUGAAAGUGACAUAGAGGAAGAUUACAAAAAUACGUCUAGCCUUUUUCGAAAACCGGCAAACAACCAAAGUUAUACAAAAAGAAGAUCUAACCAGAAUCGCACUACAACAACAACCACUGAAGAAGAGAUAAUUUCUUUGAAAAGCCGAGUCAAUUACCUAGAAGACGAAUUAAAGAAAUUGCAUGAUCUUAUUAACUCUUUUGUUAGUUCUAAUACCAACAAUCGAAGGGACUAAGUGGUAGUUAUGAGUUGGAUACACACAAGGCAAGCUUAAGAUGGAUGUUUAGCUUUAAGUUUUAAG